rnacentral:tRNA from 2 species
UUAUAAAAAUUGGUUUAAUUUUACUAUGAAAAUGUAAUGUUUUAGUUUAAACUAUAUAAAUUAGAAAU